rnacentral:rRNA from 1 species
GAUGAACGCUGGCGGCGUGCCUAAUACAUGCAAGUCGAGCGAACAGACGAGGAGCUUGCUCCUCUGACGUUAGCGGCGGACGGGUGAGUAACACGUGGAUAACCUACCUAUAAGACUGGGAUAACUUCGGGAAACCGGAGCUAAUACCGGAUAACAUGUUGAACCGCAUGGUUCAACAGUGAAAGACGGUCUUGCUGUCCCUUAUAGAUGGAUCCGCGCCGCAUUAGCUAGUUGGUAAGGUAACGGCUUACCAAGGCAACGAUGCGUAGCCGACCUGAGAGGGUGAUCAGCCACACUGGAACUGAGACACGGUCCAGACUCCUACGGGAGGCAGCAGUAGGGAAUCUUCCGCAAUGGGCGAAAGCCUGACGGAGCAACGCCGCGUGAGUGAAGAAGGUCUUCGGAUCGUAAAACUCUGUUAGUAGGGAAGAACAAAUGUGUAAGUAACUAUGCACGUCUUGACGGUACCUAAUCAGAAAGCCACGGCUAACUACGUG